AGCAGCCGCGGUAAUUCCAGCUCCAAUAGCGUAUAUUAAAGUUGUUGCAGUUAAAAAGCUCGUAGUUGAAUUUCGGGAUCAAGGAAUCGGUCAUGCCUCGGUAUGUACUGGUUUUAUUGGUUCUCACCUUCUAAAGAACCAUGAUGUCAUUCAUUUGAUGUUAUGGGGAAUUAGGACUGUUACCUUGAAAAAAUUAGAGUGUUUAAAGCAGGCUUACGCUUGAAUACAUUAGCAUGGAAUAAUGAAAUAGGACAUCAGAUUCUAUUUUGUUGGUUUCUAGGAUCGAUGUAAUGAUUAAUAGGGAUAGUUGGGGGCAUUAGUAUUCAAUUGUCAGAGGUGAAAUUCUUGGAUUUAUUGAAGACUAACUACUGCGAAAGCAUUUGCCAAGGAUGUUUUCAUUAAUCAAGAACGAAAGUUAGGGGAUCGAAGACGAUCAGAUACCGUCGUAGUCUAACCAUAA
rnacentral:rRNA from 1 species